GACGAACGCUGGCGGCGUGCUUAACACAUGCAAGUCGAACGAAGAGCGAUGGAAGCUUGCUUCUAUCAAUCUUAGUGGCGAACGGGUGGGUAACGCGUAAUCAACCUGCCCUUCAGAGGGGGACAACAGUUGGAAACGACUGCUAAUACCGCAUACGAUCUAAUCUCGGCAUCGAGGAUAGAUGAAAGGUGGCCUCUACAUGUAAGCUAUCACUGAAGGAGGGGAUUGCGUCUGAUUAGCUAGUUGGAGGGGUAACGGCCCACCAAGGCGAUGAUCAGUAGCCGGUCUGCGAGGAUGAACGGCCACAUUGGGACUGGGACCCGGCCCAGACUCCUACGGGAGGCAGCCGUGGGGGAUCUUCCGCAAUGGACGGAAGUCUGACUGAGCAACGCCGCGUGAGUGAUGACGGCCUUCGGGUUGUAAAGCUCUGUUAAUCGGGACGAAAGGCCUUCUUGCGAAUAGUGAGAAGGAUUGACGGUACCGGAAUAGAAAGCCACGGCUAACUACGUG
rnacentral:rRNA from 1 species